UCACGGCGCGGGAAAACGGCUGACGUUUGCGCCCCGCCCCGCUGCAAAGGCCGACGGGAGAUAUAGUCCAUGAUCCCAGCGAGGCUCCUUUGCUAGUCUCUUGCGUUUCCUGUGUCUGUGUCAUCAUGUACUUCCUCUGCCACACGUACCCAGUUUCAUCAUCCUGAUGGGCUGCAUUUUCAUGGAGUUACUACGUAAUCCCUACCAUACAGGGACGCUCUGAGGGACAGCCGAGAUGCUGGGCACGUUGCUCACCUCUAUUGGUCAACUCUCCGAAGUGUCCUGUGGCUGCUUGGACCGGAGUCACCUGCCACACAUGGCCUCUGCAGGCAGAAGCUGGGCUUCAGUGGUCACCAGGGCUGAGUCGGGAACCCAGCAUCGAGAAGAGGAGGGCUCGGCUGGGGAACCUGAGCAUGAGAAUCCUGCCUGGGAAGGUCAGGGGAGGCCUUUGGUCACAGUCACCCUCUGAGGUGGCAUUUUUGCCAUCUCCCUCGUCUGCAGAAUGCUAGGUGCCGGAGGGGCAGCACCCUUCCAGGGUGCAGUGCAGACUUCAGCUGCCCUGGUCUGGGAAUGAAGUCUGAGGCCCAUUCUGGGCAGCAGCUCCACCUCAGUAGCAAUUACAGCGAGGCCUUAUCAUCACUCGCUGUGCCCUGGCGGUGUUAGGGAAGGGAGAGGAAUGGGGCUGCACCAGAAUGACCAGCCUGGCAGCAUCCUGAGUGCACAUGCACACAGACACAGCUCCCUGGCCAGAAGCAAGGCCCAUUCAGGCCAGGUCCACGUGCAGGCCAUUUAGAAUCACCACAACUAAAUCAAUAGGCAGUUUAUUAAUCAUUAAUAACAUUGAUAGGUCAAAUCACCUGGGAAAUUGGGAUGAAAAUGAAGAGGGGGGAUGAAAAUGAAGAGGGUCCUUCCUCCCCCUUCCCGCCCCUCUGUAGUAUGUGAGUCAUUCAGUCACACACCUUCAAUGAAUCAACACAGGACUGGACUUGAAGACCUGUGCUAGUACUAGCGAUAAGAGCAAAAGUUAAUAGGCUCAUUACACCUUCUGAUGGUGUCAGCUGACCACAGCCUGACGUUUCCACAUUGGAAGUCAAAGUUCAAGAAAACCAAGAAGUUUACAGCUUAAAAAGCGGAGGAAAAACAGCCAACACCCACAUCAAAACAAAGGACCGCAGGCCUGAGUCUGAGAGCAGGACAGGUAGAGGACCCUGGGGAACAGGAGGCAAGGGUGUGAGGCCAGGAGUCCCCGCGAAGUCAGGUGGCAGAGUUCAGGAGCCCAGGGCUGCUCACUCAGUCCACAGCCUCCACCUGGGCCGGCGCUGGGGGCAGGGACUGUCCCCUCCCUAGGCCACCUCACAGGUGACUUUCCAAAGAGCACACGAUUUGCAGCUUUGUGUUUUUGGUUUUGGCAAGGUUUAAUUAAACUGCACAGCAUCCAAGAGAAAGAAUUGUACCAAAGAAUCCAACCUGAGGUGAGAUCAUACACUUUUGGGGUGGGGGAAGAUAUCAGUACUAUUUGGGAGAGAGAGCAUUGAUUGUAAUGGGAAUAUAACUCCAAGACAAAUCAUACAAUAAAUUAUUCUUUAAAAGAAACUGAUCCACA